rnacentral:rRNA from 1 species
GAUGAACGCUGGCGGCGUGCUUAACACAUGCAAGUCGAGCGAGUGAGUUCUUCGGAACAAUCUAGCGGCGGACGGGUGAGUAACACGUGGGCAACCUACCUCAUAGAGGGGAAUAGCCUCCCGAAAGGGAGAUUAAUACCGCAUAAAAUUAUCGAGUGGCAUCACAUGAUAAUCAAAGGAGUAAUCCGCUAUGAGAUGGGCCCGCGGCGCAUUAGCUAGUUGGUGAGGUAACGGCGCACCAAGGCGACGAUGCGUAGCCGACCUGAGAGGGUGAUCGGCCACAUUGGGACUGAGACACGGCCCAGACUCCUACGGGAGGCAGCAGUGGGGAAUAUUGCACAAUGGGGGAAACCCUGAUGCAGCAACGCCGCGUGAGUGAUGAAGGUCUUCGGAUUGUAAAGCUCUGUCUUUGGGGACGAUAAUGACGGUACCCAAGGAGGAAGCCACGGCUAACUACGUGCCAGCCGCCGCUGUAA